GGUUAAGCGACUAAGCGUACACGGUGGAUGCCCUGGCAGUCAGAGGCGAUGAAGGACGUGCUAAUCUGCGAUAAGCGUCGGUGAGGUGAUAUGAACCGUUAUAACCGGCGAUUUCCGAAUGGGGAAACCCAGUGUGUUUCGACACACUAUCAUUAACUGAAUCCAUAGGUUAAUGAGGCGAACCGGGGGAACUGAAACAUCUAAGUACCCCGAGGAAAAGAAAUCAACCGAGAUUCCCCCAGUAGCGGCGAGCGAACGGGGAGGAGCCCAGAGCCUGAAUCAGUGUGUGUGUUAGUGGAAGCGUCUGGAAAGGCGCGCGAUACAGGGUGACAGCCCCGUACACAAAAAUGCACAUAUUGUGAGCUCGAUGAGUAGGGCGGGACACGUGGUAUCCUGUCUGAAUAUGGGGGGACCAUCCUCCAAGGCUAAAUACUCCUGACUGACCGAUAGUGAACCAGUACCGUGAGGGAAAGGCGAAAAGAACCCCGGCGAGGGGAGUGAAAAAGAACCUGAAACCGUGUACGUACAAGCAGUGGGAGCCUCUUAAUGGGGUGACUGCGUACCUUUUGUAUAAUGGGUCAGCGACUUAUAUUCUGUAGCAAGGUUAACCGAAUAGGGGAGCCGAAGGGAAACCGAGUCUUAACUGGGCGUUAAGUUGCAGGGUAUAGACCCGAAACCCGGUGAUCUAGCCAUGGGCAGGUUGAAGGUUGGGUAACACUAACUGGAGGACCGAACCGACUAAUGUUGAAAAAUUAGCGGAUGACUUGUGGCUGGGGGUGAAAGGCCAAUCAAACCGGGAGAUAGCUGGUUCUCCCCGAAAGCUAUUUAGGUAGCGCCUCGUGAAUUCAUCUCCGGGGGUAGAGCACUGUUUCGGCAAGGGGGUCAUCCCGACUUACCAACCCGAUGCAAACUGCGAAUACCGGAGAAUGUUAUCACGGGAGACACACGGCGGGUGCUAACGUCCGUCGUGAAGAGGGAAACAACCCAGACCGCCAGCUAAGGUCCCAAAGUCAUGGUUAAGUGGGAAACGAUGUGGGAAGGCCCAGACAGCCAGGAUGUUGGCUUAGAAGCAGCCAUCAUUUAAAGAAAGCGUAAUAGCUCACUGGUCGAGUCGGCCUGCGCGGAAGAUGUAACGGGGCUAAACCAUGCACCGAAGCUGCGGCAGCGACGCUUAUGCGUUGUUGGGUAGGGGAGCGUUCUGUAAGCCUGUGAAGGUGUGCUGUGAGGC
rnacentral:rRNA from 1 species